rnacentral:rRNA from 1 species
UACAGAGGGUGCGAGCGUUGUCCGGAAUCACUGGGCGUAAAGGGCGCGUAGGUGGCGAGCCAAGUCCAUGGUGAAAGCUCGAUGCUCAACAUCGAGUCGGCCACGGAUACUGGUGCGCUUGAGCACUGUAGAGGCUAAUGGAAUUCCGGGUGUAGCGGUGGAAUGCGUAGAGAUCCGGAAGAACACCGGUGGCGAAGGCGGCUAUCUGGACAGAAACUGACGCUGAGACGCGAAAGCGUGGGGAGCAAACAGGG